AGGACGAACGCUGGCGGCGUGCUUAACACAUGCAAGUCGAACGGAAAGGCCCUUCGGGGUACUCGAGUGGCGAACGGGUGAGUAACACGUGAGCAAUCUGCCCCUAGCUCUGGGAUAGCUCCGGGAAACCGGGAUUAAUACCAGAUAUUACUACGGCCGACAUCAGCUGUGGUGGAAAGAAUUUCGGCUAGGGAUGAGCUCGCGGCCUAUCAGCUUGUUGGUGGGGUAAAGGCCCACCAAGGCGACGACGGGUAGCCGGCCUGAGAGGGCGACCGGCCACACUGGGACUGAGACACGGCCCAGACUCCUACGGGAGGCAGCAGUGGGGAAUAUUGCGCAAUGGGCGAAAGCCUGACGCAGCGACGCCGCGUGCGGGAUGAAGGCCUUCGGGUUGUAACCGCUUUCAGCAGGGACGAAGCGAAAGUGACGGUACCUGCAGAAGAAGCGCCGGCUAACUACGUGCCAGCAGCCGC
rnacentral:rRNA from 1 species